UGGGGAAUAUUGGACAAUGGGCGCAAGCCUGAUCCAGCCAUGCCGCGUGUGUGAAGAAGGCCUUUUGGUUGUAAAGCACUUUAAGCGAGGAGGAGGCUACUUGGAUUAAUACUCUAGGAUAGUGGACGUUACUCGCAGAAUAAGCACCGGCUAACUCUGUGCCAGCAGCCGCGGUAAUACAGAGGGUGCGAGCGUUAAUCGGAUUUACUGGGCGUAAAGCGUGCGUAGGCGGCUUUUUAAGUCGGAUGUGAAAUCCCUGAGCUUAACUUAGGAAUUGCAUUCGAUACUGGGAAGCUAGAGUAUGGGAGAGGAUGGUAGAAUUCCAGGUGUAGCGGUGAAAUGCGUAGAGAUCUGGAGGAAUACCGAUGGCGAAGGCAGCCAUCUGACCUAAUACUGACGCUGAGGUACAAAAGCAUGGGGAGCAAACAGG
rnacentral:rRNA from 1 species